rnacentral:rRNA from 1 species
CUGCCCAAUGAGGAUUUAAAUGGCCGCGGUAUUUUGACCGUGCAAAGGUAGCAUAAUCAUUAGUUUCUUAAUUGGAAGCUGGUAUGAAAGGUUGGAUGAGAAAAUAACUGUCUCUAUUUAAAUUAUUUUAGAAUUUUAUUUUUAAGUAAAAAAGCUUAAAUAUAAAUAGAAGACGAGAAGACCCUAUAGAGUUUUAUAAAUUUUAAUUUAAAUAGUUUUUAGAAUUAAGAAAAAUUAAAUUAAUAUUUAUUUGGUUGGGGUGAUUUAAAAAUUAAAAAAACUUUUUUUAUUUAUUAUAACAUUUAUUUAUGAUUG